GCCGCCGCCGGAUCGCAUGCCAGAUCCACCAGUACGCCCAGACCGCGUCCGGAUCCAUCCCGGCCGCCCAUGCCGCCUAUGCGCGCCCCUCCCUCAGCCCACCGGCGACCUCCCAUCCUCCACCGUCUACCCCACCGUCGGAUCUCCUCCUCCCCUCUCCUUCUCUCCCUCGCGGACGCGUCAAACCCACGAAAUUUCCCUCCUCGCGGCCGUAACCCUAGCUCGUGCCUGUGGGGACUGGGCUGGAGGUGCGGCACGGGAUUCGCACCGCAGGAUUCGCCAGCGACGAGUCCAACAGGUCGUCGAAUCGGGGAACGGGAUGGCGCACCCUGCUGCAGCCGCCGGUCGGGACGAGCGCGGCGGCGACGAACGUCGGUGCGCCUCCGUUUCCUCGACCUCCAAGGACGCAGGCGCCGGAUUUGUUCUCGCCUGACCAGCCUCGGUAUCCAGCUCCCUACAGCCACCGCCGGCGUUGACUCCCAAGGCAAGGAUGACGACGACGCCAAAGAUGACGAGGCACCGAGCUCGAGCACGACCACUACGACGCACUGCACAAAGGCCCCUGCUUCCUGCCUACCCUUCCCUUUGCUUGGAAGAUAGCUCUCUCCAGAUGUUGUUCCUGUCCUUCUCCUUGGUUGUUGAGCGCUGUACUCACUCAUGUAUGCAGGUUGAGUCCAAGCACAAGUAAGCACCAUUAUUAGGCGAGAAGAUGACGGUGACGCAGAGGAGGACGAGGACCCGCGCUCCAGCCCGACCACGACUAUGCACCGCACGGUCCCUGCUUCCUGGCUGUCGCCAAUUGCCCCCUUCCCUUUACAUUACUACUCUAUUUGUUUUCAUUGCUUUUCACCCAGUUUUGCACACUUUCUGGCCCUUCACUUUUUUGUGUGCAAAUGUUCUGAUCGCCUCCAUAUGGCUGUUUCCGUCCUCCUGCUCGUAUUGUCUCCAUCCUCCUGCUCAAGUCGUCGCCGUCGCCUCCCAUCCUUCAUGGCCUGCGUGUGUGCUCCCACUGUUGGAGGACGACGUUGAACAUGAAGCAGAACCCAGCUGGAGCGGUCUGAAGCGGUGGUCGUGGCCAAGGAGCGGUGGUCGAUGCCAUGGAGUAGGGGCCCUCGGUCGCCUGCACAUCGGCUGCAUUCUGAACUAACGCUUUCUGCAACUGCAAUGUUCCCCUUCACAUUGUAUCUUGUGUAGGCAGAAGGAAUGCAGCUCAGUGACGGCGUCGGCUACAACUGGAUCGAUGGCCUGAAGGCUUUUACUAAGAAGAUGAAGAAUGUUGUAGAAUAGUGUCCAUCAACAAAGAGUCUUACUACUACCGGUUGGAGAGGCUCUAUCCUCAGUGCACCACCCUUUCUACACACAUCAUUCAUGGAUUGGCAGACUAAAGGUUCUAUUCAACAUCUUUGGUGGAUUGCAUAAAUGGGCUAGAGUAAAAAUAGACCAGAAUUGUUAUAUGUGCUUAGGGAAGUGGGAUUAGAUCAAGAUUUUUUUUGACAAAAUGAGAAAUCAAUGGCUCAAGGAGAGUAAGCCCAAAGAGAUAAGUAUUGUUUUCCUUUAGUAGCUUGCCGCAUAAUUCAUUCAAACAUAUUUAGAGUGGAGCAGGAAUAUUCAAACAAGGAAAUGUACACAAUAUCUGUUAGUAUACAUGUGACACUUUCCCAUCUUUCGACUAAUGAUUGCCUCCUGCCAGGUAUCACUAAUAGCACAUUCAUCACAUCAUUUGUGUAGCUCAUUCUGGUGUAAGUCGGGCCAAUUUAGAAAAGAUUUUAAAGCAGAUUCAUACAUGUUAUAGAAGUCAGAGUCAAAUAGUAUAAUAAGUGAUUUGUUUGUGCAUAAUUUCUAAUUGAUCGUCUUCUAAGGAUAAAUGGAACUGCUACCUUUCCUCUCUCCAAUAAACUAUUAGACCCUGCUUGUAACUAUUUUUCAUCUUGGUGUGAUUUAUAAGGGAGGCCAUGCCAUUAGUUUUUUGUUAUUACAUGCUGUGAUGAUCCCGAUUCAUUGAUGUAUAGUGUCGUAUGUGGUCAAUUACCUAAUAUGGUAGUAUCACUUCUCCUGGUUUGCCUUGGUCUGAAAUCUGACUUUUGGACUGAUUGUAGUCAAUCUGAAUUAGUGAGGUUCUUUUUUCCAACUGUCCAUGUUCAGUUCUCUACAUUAUCAUGCAUUUUCUUUGGUUUAAAGAUGUCAUGAUGUUCACCAAGGCAGAGAAGAAAUGUUUUAAAGUUGUCCCUUCAAUUGAAACAAGUAUGACUUGGUCCUUAGUGCCUAUGCAGACAUGAAAACGGAAGGUCGAGAGGUUUAAAUAUGUCAUGAUGUUUACAAUUGCGGAUAUCCUGCUUCAGGUACUUGCAUGAUAACUCACAAUUUCAACACAGAAGUUACUAAUAUGUAAGACAUGCCCUCUCUCAUUCAAUGAUGUCCUGAAACUUUCACACAAAGCUUUGUAAUCUUGCCAAGUCACAAGAGAGCCAAGUAAUCAUGCGAAUUUUCAGAGAACUUCAAGUGGCAUGCCACCAUUUGCAAUGGUUGUGAUGUAGUGAUAAUUAAUAAACUGCAGGUCUUCUAAAUAUUCUAAAGUUGCAUAUCCAAGAGCAUAUUAUAUUUCUCAUAAACAACUGGAGUUAAGCUUCUAUCCUCUUCCUGUCUUGAAGGAAUUAUCUGUUGAGUAAGCUACAAUCUCUUUGUUUGACUAGCUAGGCUGUGUUACAUACAUGUAUAAGAUGAUGCUUCUGUGGCUAUAACUGGUGCCUGCCACGCUAAAUAGGAAACACCCUAUUAAUUACCCACCUCAAUUUCAUUAGUGCGUCCGGCCUGUGAAUUUUACCCCAGACUAUAAAUCCCCUCCAAACGAAACCCUAUAGGUGUACUAUGACUUAAUAGUGUAUCCUUGUAAAAGUUAGUGUGUUGGGUUAUUUUUUUGGUGUGGUUAGAGAACUCGACUCCAUUUGGAACGAGGGUUUGAGUUUUAUUUUUCCUAAACCUUUGAGAGGCAGAGCCAUGGAAAUAUUUUGUGCUCUCAUUCCUCUGGAUGGAAGCUCUAACUUUUCCUCUUUGUUUCCAAUAAGCUACUUUCUUCGAGAUUGUGCAAUGAAGGAUUUUGAUGGUAAGGGAUCGUAGAGCCUCGGGUGACUAGCAUUAAGAUAGGAAGGUUGUUGCCGCCCUUGUCCCUUGCUGCUGUGUUGCCACGGUGGCGUCAAUCACUGGCUUAUUUAGAACAAUAGUUAGUGGAUUUUGUGAUAAGGGUGAGGGCCGAGAGUGAGAGGGACGGGGUUGGGAUUGGUCUGUUGUAUGCGUGAAAUUAUUUCCCUACUUCAGAAAAUAUGGCAAAUUGCAUUUCAUUAGAGAUUGAUUUACAGCAAAUUGCAUGAGCGAGUGGUUCAUGCAUUUUUCAUCAAGUCGUACAUUUUCUUGGUUAUGACAUAAGGGUAAAUGUACUGGUUGGUUGCUUCAAGACUUAAUAACAGACACUAUGACAAUGGCUCAAGAGAUAUCAGAUCUACCUUCUUGGCUGGGGGCGUUAUGGGUGGCGCACGCCUCGACCCCCUUGAUGGCCGUGGUGGAUGGACAUGAACACGAGGGGGGAUCAGGGCGGAGAGCAGGGUGGUUGGCAGGGGACUCAUCCUUGGCAGUUCAUGGGAAAGUACGGUGUGAAGCAGAGGGGGCGCCAUGGCGAAGUGUGAAAGGAGGAAAAUGGUUGCCGGAAAGCAGGUAGAUCUACACCUUGAGAUGGCAUUUUGCGGUACAUUGUUUAGGUCAUUAGUGGUCACUUGGGAUGGGUGCGAUCUGUAGCAUUUGAUCCAGGGAACAAAUGGUUUUGUCCUGGUUUUGCUGAUAGGACAAUAACGGCAAGGAAGAAGGUUGCAGAGCACGGAUGGAUGUGAAAAGGAAGGGGAUGGAUGAGAGAGGAGAGAAGAGGGGUGAAAGAGGAUACAUAUGGAAAGAGGGAGAAGGACAGGGUGGAGGUGCUUCUUGAGGAUUAUUGUCGACUGAUUUCAUACUCUCUUAUAAAUUCAUGGUUAGCUAGGUAAACCUUUUGUACAACAGCUCUUGUUCAAAAGGAAGUUUGAUUUUUCGGCUUCUUAUUUUAGGUCAAUAUCAAGAACAGUUUAGUUAAUUUAGUUUAAUGUUUAUGUUUGAAAUUGACUUUUACCAUUCUGGUUGAAUGGGGGUGUGGAUAGAAGAGAUUGCGAGUCGAGUACGGUGAUGCCAA